rnacentral:rRNA from 1 species
CCUACGGGAGGCAGCAGUGGGGAAUAUUGGGCAAUGGGCGCAAGCCUGACCCAGCCACGCCGCGUGAAGGAAGAAGGCUCUCGGGUUGUAAACUUCUUUUUAGAGGGAAGCGCAGAAGACGGUACCUCUCGAAUAAGCCACUGCUAACUACGUGCCAGCAGCCGCGGUCAUACGUAGGUGGCAAGCGUUGUCCGGAUUUACUGGGUGUAAAGGGCGUGUAGUCGGGCUGACAAGUCAGAUGUGAAAUUCCGGGGCUCAACCCCGGACCUGCAUUUGAAACUGGUGGUCUUGAGUAUCGGAGAGGCAGGCGGAAUUCCUGGUGUAGCGGUGAAAUGCGUAGAUAUUAGGAGGAACACCAGUGGCGAAGGCAGCCUGCUGGACGACAACUGACGGUGAGGCGCGAAAGCGUGUGGAGCAAACAGGAUUAGAUACCCCUGUAGUC